AAAAUUUCCACAAAAAUAUACAUAAUGAUUUCCUAUUAUAUUUAUUGUAAUUGCUCUAGCAAUACAUUCAAAUAAGAAAGGAGACAUUUGGAAACAAAAUAUGUCUUGAUGAAUUAAGCCAAAAUCAUGUCAAACAGGUUUUUCAAAAAUUCCUAAUCACUUUUACGACAAACUGAUUGAUCCAUUGGGAAACAGCAUCAUCAGAGUCCCUGCUGGAGUCAGUCAGAGCAUUUCCAUAGAGAGCCACUUUGCAUCAGCAGCACCAUGCUCCAGUGCUCUGGGAGAGUUUAUAGUCCUGAGAGUUGAACACUGGAUGACUGACAGCUGUCCUUCAUGACAACAGAAGCCACAGAAAUCCUCCUCAUCAAAAACAUGACUUUGAUCUCCGUCCUCAUCUGGACUCUCCUCUGCUGCUGCUUCACAGAGUCCAGAGGCCAGGUCACAGUGACUCAGCCUGGAGCAGUGAGCUCUGCUCUGGGAGGCUCCGUCUCCAUCAGCUGUAGGACCAGUCAGAAUGUUCAGAGCUCAAACUAUUUAGCCUGGUUCCAACAGAGAGAUGGAGAAACUCCUAAACUCCUCAUUUACGGUGCUAGCACUCGAGCAUCAGGGAUUCCAGUUCGUUUUACAGGCAUUGGAUCAAACUCUGACUUCACUCUGACCAUCAGUGGAGUCCAGACUGAAGAUGCAGCAGUUUACUACUGUCAGAGUGAACACUAUAUCAACAGUCAGCAUGUGUUCACACAGUGAAAAAGCGUCGUACAAAAACCUCCCUCAGUCAGACUGA